UACGUAGGGGGCAAGCGUUGUCCGGAAUCAUUGGGCGUAAAGCGCGUGUAGGCGGUCCGGUAAGUCGGCUGUGAAAGUCAAGGGCUCAACCCUUGAAGGCCGGCCGAUACUGUCGGACUAGAGUCCGGAAGAGGCGAGUGGAAUUCCCGGUGUAGCGGUGAAAUGCGCAGAUAUCGGGAGGAACACCAAUGGCGAAGGCAGCUCGCUGGGACGGUACUGACGCUGAGACGCGAAAGCGUGGGGAGCGAACAGG
rnacentral:rRNA from 1 species